rnacentral:rRNA from 1 species
GAUGAACGCUAGCGGCAGGUCUAAUACAUGCAAGACGAACGGUAAGUUGAGUAGCAAUACUUAGCCAAGAGUGUCGUACGGGUGCGUAACACGUAUGCAACCUACCCUAUACAGGAGGAUAGCCUAGGGAAACCUGGAUUAACCCUUCAUAGUAUUAUUGGAUGGCAUCAUUUGAUAAUUAAAACUGAGGUGGUAUAGGAUGGGCAUGCGUCUGAUUAGUUAGUUGGCGGGGUAAUGGCCCACCAAGACGAUGAUCAGUAGGGGUUCUGAGAGGAAGAUCCCCCACACUGGCACUGAGAUACGGGCCAGACUCCUACGGGAGCAGCAGUAGGGAAUAUUGGUCAAUGGAUGCAAGUCUGAACCAGCCAUGCCGCGUGCAGGAA